CCAAUGGGGAGUGGGUUUGUUGUGGUCCUGGAGCCGGAGCUCGGAGCCUGGGGAUGGGGCUAAUGGCGGCGGCUGCCUGCCUGACCUGAGAUGUCCCGAGGGGAGCCAAGCCUAGAGCCCAGGCCCCGGCUGGUUUGUAGUGUCCAUCCUGCUAAGGCCGCCGCGUCCCCCGAGCCCCAGGAGGAAACCAUGGAUACUUGACAUCACAUUGUGGUGUGACACUGUUUCGUUUUGAUCAUGAACACUGAUCUCUGGAAAACCAUCCUGGUCGCUAAGCAGGAGAAGCAUAAAAAACUAUUUCUCAACUAUAAGAACUUGUGCAAAUUUCCUCAUGAAUUACUGAAAGAUGGUGGCUCAGAAUACUUGGAGCACCUUUAUAUGAAGAUGAAUUCAUUAACAACAUUGCCAGAAAACCUUGGAGAGAAGCUUCCUAAUCUCACUGAGUUGGACUUAAUGAAGAUCCAGAUCAAAUGCAACAUCUAUGCUGACCUUGCGCUGAGUUG